rnacentral:rRNA from 1 species
UACGGGGGGAGCAAGCGUUGUUCGGAUUUACUGGGCGUAAAGGGCGCGUAGGCGGCCUCUGCAAGUCGACUGUGAAAUCUCCGGGCUUAACCCGGAACGGUCAGCCGAUACUGCAGGGCUAGAGUGCAGAAGGGGCAACCGGAAUUCUCGGUGUAGCGGUGAAAUUCGUAGAUAUUCGCAAGAACACCAGUGGCGAAGGCGGCUCACUGGUCCGGUUCUGACGCUGAGGCGCGAAAGCGUGGGGAGCAAACAGG